rnacentral:piRNA from 1 species
UACUAGAGAAAUAACAUGUUUAAGGUAACC